GGACAUGAACACAUAUAGCAGAAUGGAUAUGGGUCACAUUACAAACAUAUUUGUCACAGAGACGGAGCUAUCACAGAGACUGAAAAUUAAACACACACAAAGUUAACUAGUACUGGAAGUAGAAAUACACAGGGUGAACACACAUACAUGCUAGCAAAAUACUAAUACUGAUUCUGAUAGAUCAAUCACCUCCCAAAUUAAGAGGGCAUCAACAAGUCAGAUCCAACAUAACAACACAACCCUGGACAUUACUCAAUUCUGAACAUUACACUUCUAAAGUUCGCAAUAGAGAGAGAGAGCAGCAAGAUUCAGAUUCAGAGAAGUGCAGCAGCAGAUUUGAGGAUGAAGAAGAAGCAGCAACGAGCAGCAAGUUAGGAGCAGCAGCAAGGCGUAGGAAGCAGAAGCAGGGAAGAGCAGCAACAGAAGGGGCGAGGGGAGGAGCAACGGCAGUUGGAGAAGAAGAUCAGCAGCAUGGGGGCACUCACGCGGAGGACCAGACGCCCGUGACCCUCUUGUCUGGUCCGGCGCGCGAGGUGUGGAGGUGGCUGGAGAUGGUGGAUGGAUUUGGUGGCGUGUGGUGGGUGUGCUGGUGGCGCGAUGGCGCACCGCCACGCCGGCCUGGCCGCGACGGCAGCCGGUAGUGGAGAAGGAGGGGUGAGGGAGAGAGAUGUGUGCCAGGCCCAAAGGGAAUUGAGGCUGCGCUAGGGAUUUUGAUCCCCUCCUCUGUUCUGCCACUUUACGAUUUGGCCCUGCUAUUUCUCUUCUUUCUUCCCAAGUUGGUCCUGCCAUCUAUAGCUUGGCCCCUUGAUUACUUCAAUUCUUCUCGCUCAAGUCCCUUUCUUCACUUCUUUCCUGCCCUUCUCUCUUCUCAAUAGCCAAUUUGUCCAAAUCUUGAAGUUUAUAGUGCCUUUGCGCACUUUUCUGCAAAAUAAUCAAAUGACGAGUAAAUGAUCUUUUAUAUGAUUUUCAUUCAAAUAUAUCAUAGUUCAUAACAAGAAUGGAUCGUUGGAUCACAAUAAAUGGUGUGUUUGUGUGCCAAAAUAGGAAUAGGAAAUGCACUUAUCAAGUUCCCCCACACUUAAAUCUUUACUUGUCCUCAAGUAAAGGCAUUUGACAGGAGCAAGGUAGUGAACGGCGAACUGACUGGAGGAUGUCCCAGUGAAGUAGAUCUCCAAACAAUGCAUGCUUUGAACUUCGCUAGUGAAAAUCUAUGGUUAAGAGUGCUACAAAGCAAUAGGAUACUAGUAGACUCUAUUAUUUUAAACUUUUACAAUGAUAAAAGUGGAUCAACAAGUUCAAAUGCUGAUUGUGCCAAAGGGUUCCUAAAGAGAGCAUGAUCCCAGAAAAAACUUAUUAUCCAGAACAUAACAUUAUGGUUGAAGCACUUAUUGAAUUUGAAGGAAGUAAUGAUAAUAUUUUAUCGGUCUCACCAAAGGAACAUACCACCGAUCCCGAGAACAUGCUAUACACCUGGCUCGACCAAUUUUUUUGUUUGUCUCCCCAAAGGAACAUACCACCGAUCCAGAGAACUUGGUAUACACCUGGUUUGACAAUUACAAUUUUUAUUAUUAAUUACUGCCCAAGCUAACCUGAUUUCACAUGCCACCGAUCCAGGAAACAUGACAUGCUACUGUAGGUAGUUAGACUUAUUUAUUCAUUAUUACUUAUCUUAAAUGAAUAACGCAUAAGCACAAAAACAUGAAUCAUCACUUCUCCAUGUCUGGUUCACAUGCCACCGAUCCAGGGAACAUAGCAUACUAGUCCAUAGUGGUAAAGUGAUUGCUCUCAAUGGGAACACAAUAGGCACAAACUCAUCAUCUAACACUUAAUGAUCUGAGUGUAUCAAGGUAAAAGCAGAAAAUGAUUAAGUUUACUAGUGCACUAGGGAUUUGAGCACUCAAAACUAAUAGCUUUCACUACUUUCAGCAAAGCAAACAGGGUGUAGAUCACUAGUUUACAGGGCAUUCAACAAUCAGUUCGCAUAUUCUCAUCAAGCACCAUAUGUCAAAGGUGAAAUUCAGUGGGACAACAUUUAAGAAAUGGCACAAGCAACCCAAAUAGCAAUUUAAUUCAGCAAGCAUCAAUGGAUGAUGAUUUCAAAAUGGGUCAUGAAACAACUCACCGGGCUUUGAUGAUGUAGCACUCUCGAUCACCUCACCAACUGCAGCUCCUCUCCUUUUGCUUCUCUAUCCUCAUGCCUGCUCCAGCUUCACUCUUCUUCGUGUGUGCCCCUUGCUUCUCCUCUUCACCAUGCUCUGAGUCCACCAGGGUCCCAAGGAAUGUCACCUCGAACCUGGUCAGCAUGAAGUGAUUUGUGCACAAGCAAGAACCUAAAAGAGCACUCAACGAAAGAGACAAUGCAAGUGGUAGGGACAAUGCCCUCCAAGUCAUCAAUCGAAUAUCCAAUUACAUAAGCAUAGCUAUAAAGCACAUGUUUAGGAUGGUCGGAAUCAGCAAGCUCAAUACUAGCAUGUGGAUGAUAUGUUUCAUUAAGCAUGAUUCUAGCAUGAGAAUGAAAUGUUUCAUUAAGCAUACGUCUAGCACGAGGAAAGUAACUGUCAUCAACACUAAUGUGAGUAAUGCCACUAACAGGGUAUAUAUGAUCAUAUCCAAGCAAAUACUUUUUCAAAUCUACUUUAACAGAUGGCAUCAUGCAAUGCAAAGUAGUAGCAAACAGAUCAUAUGGACGCAUGUCAUCAAGAGGAUUAGAUAAACCUGCUACAUUACGCUCUUGUAUGACAAUAGGCAAAUGAAUUUCUCGUUCUUCAUCUUCAACUACAACAGCUUCUUCUACUUCUUCAAGAGUAAUAGAUGAUGAAUCUUCAACUUGAUUGCUUGGGCUUUCGAGCUCUGGAUCCUCUUGUUCCUUGUCUUUGAGUUGAUCUUCUUCAAUCUGAGGUAUCUCUUCCUCUGGGCUCUUGCUAUCUUGCUCAGCUGGAUGUGACGGUGUUGGAAACUCACACACCUCAAGGGAUAUCCCUGAAAUACUCAGCUCUAGCUGUGAAGAAAUAGUGCCGCCAGCGUUGAUGUUCUUCUCAAUCUUCCUUACUUCCUCCACUAACUCUUUUCCACUCUUGAUCUUCUUCAUUUCCUCUAGUAUCACCGGCCUGAUUGGAUCAUCUUCAGCACUCCAAGUGAACUCGAGACUAAGCAAUGUGAGCUUGUCUAUAUCGUCAAAAUCAUCUUGUGUGGGCACUUGUGUUGAAGGUGUUGGUUGACCAAAUGGAGGACCAUUUAACUCCAUUGGCAACAUCUCCUGGUUCUGAGGUAUAUGAAUAGGAGCUGAAUAAAACUGUUGUGGUGCAUAGUUGUUGCUCUCCUCAUUGUACCCAAUUCCCUGCAAUUGAUAACUAGAGGCAAACGAUGAGUUCUCAGGGCUGUUGUUCCUAUAUGACAUAUUCUGGUUUUCAGGCCACCCAUAUGAGUAAUUGUUUUGGUAUGAGCUAGGCUGUGGGGCGAAGCUCAUGCCAAAACAAUCGGGAGGGUGAGAGUAACCACGCUGACAUUCAGCGGGUGAAUGGCCCUGAAAUCCACAGAUAUGGCAUGUAGGAGCAACAUAAGGAUGGCCUCUAGAAUAAGGAUCAUAAGAGCUAGGCCUAUCCUCAAAAACUACUUCUCGCUGCCGAGCUAAAUCAUCUAAUCGAUGGGAAAUCUUACUUAUCAGUUCUUGAAUACUUUCCGUGCUAUUUGUAGUGUUGCUUGCAUAAGCAUGAUUAUCUGAGUAGAAUGCCAUUUCCAAGAAGACAAUUCAACCUACAAAAUGAACAAGAAAAGAAAGAGAAGAUAACUGGAACAGUGGUUAGGGGUAAGAGAUAUAUCACAAAUAUAUGGCACCAGAUAGAAACAGAAGCAAAACCUAGUCUAUAGCCUAACACGGUCGCACGACGCUAGCCCCCGGCAAUGGCGCCAAAAUGAUCGUUUUGUAAGUACAGUAGGGUUUUUACACCCAAACUAUGGAUGUUGAAUUCUCCACAGGGACUAGACGAUCAACGACGGCACAAGACUAAAGCUAGGUAACAUGAUUCGGGUGAUGAUAGCAGGAAAAUAAACCUAAGCUAUCUAAGACAGUUCCAGAAAAUCAACAGACAAAGUAAAUGAAAAGAAGCAAAUGGAGGUUCAGAUUAUACUCUCUGUCUUUUUGGUAUUAUUUUUAUUUGCAUGAGAAACUAAAAUAGUAACACAAAGGAAAAACAGGACAUGAACACAUAUAGCAGAAUGGAUAUGGGUCACAUUACAAACAUAUUUGUCACAGAGACGAAGCUAUCACAGAGACUGAAAAUUAAACACACACAAAGUUAACUAGUACUGGAAGUAGAAAUACACAGGGUGAACACACAUACAUGCUAGCAAAAUACUAAUACUCAUAAGCAGAUUCUGAUAGAUCAAUCACCUCCCAAAUUAAGAGGGCAUCAACAAGUCAGAUCCAACAUAACAAGUACUAUAUUAUACCAGUCUGAAUAUUACACAACCCUGGACAUUACACAAUUCUGAACAUUAUUACACUUCUAAAGUUCGCAAUAGAGAGAGAGAGAGAGAGAGAGAGAGAGAGAGAGAGAGAGAGAGAGCAGCAGCAGCAGCAAGAUUCAAAUUCAGAGAAGUGUAGCAGCAGAUUUGAGGAUGAAGAAGCAGCAGCAGCGAGCAGCAAGUUAGGAGCAGCAGCAAGGCAUAGGAAGCAGAAGCAGGGAAGAGCAGCAGCAGAAGGGGCGAGGGGAGGAGCAACGGCAGUUGGAGAAGAAGAUCAGCAACAUGGGGGCGCUCACGCGGAGGACCAGACGCCCGUGACCCUCUUGUCUGGUCCGGCGCGCGAGGUGUGGAGGUGGCUGGAGAUGGUGGCGAUGGUGGAUGGAUUUGGUGGCGUGUGGUGGGUGUGCUGGUGGCGCGGUGGCGCACCGCCACGCCGGCCUAGCCGCGGCGACGGCCGGUAGUGGAGAAGGAGGGGUGAGGGAGAGAGAUGUGUGCCAGGCCCAAAGGGAAUUUAGGCUGCGCUAGGGAUUUUGAUCCCCUCCUCUGUUCUGCCACUUUACGAUUUGGCCCUGCUAUUUCUCUUCUUUCUUCCCAAGUUGGUCCUGCCAUCUAUAGCUUGGCCCCUUGAUUACUUCAAUUCUUCUCGCUCAAGUCCCUUUCUUCACUUCUUUCGUGCCCUUCUC
rnacentral:lncRNA from 1 species